rnacentral:misc_RNA from 1 species
GGAAGUAGAAGUCGUAACAAGGUCUCCGUUGGUGAACCAGCGGAGGGAUCAUUACCGAGUUUACAACUCCCAAACCCUUUGUGAACCUUACCUAUCGUUGCUUCGGCGGGACCGCCCUGGCGCCUCGCGGCGCCGGAACUCAGGCGCCCGCCGGGGGCCCGAAACUCUUGUUUAAUUUAGUGUUUCCUCUCCGAGUGGCACAAGCAAAAAUAAAUCAAAACUUUCAACAACGGAUCUCUUGGCUCUG